GGGGGGGGGGGGGGGGGGGGGGGGGGCGGGCGGGGCGGGCGGGGGGGCGCUGCGGGGGGGGGGGGCUCGGGUGGCGAACGGGUGGGUAACACGGGAGUAACCUGCCCUUGACUUUGGGAUAACUUCAGGAAACUGGGGCUAAUACCGGAUAGGAGCUCCUGCUGCAUGGUGGGGGUUGGAAAGUUUCGGCGGUUGGGGAUGGACUCGCGGCUUAUCAGCGUGUUGGUGGGGUAGUGGCUUACCAAGGCUUUGACGGGUAGCCGGCCUGAGAGGGUGACCGGCCACAUUGGGACUGAGAUACGGCCCAGACUCCUACGGGAGGCAGCAGUGGGGAAUAUUGCACAAUGGGCGGAAGCCUGAUGCAGCAACGCCGCGUGCGGGAUGACGGCCUUCGGGUUGUAAACCGCUUUCGCCUGUGACGAAGCGUGAGUGACGGUAAUGGGUAAAGAAGCACCGGCUAACUACGUG
rnacentral:rRNA from 1 species